CCUGAUAGCAUUGGAGACUUGGAAUCUCUUAGGCUUCUUGAUCUCUCUGGUUGCUCAAAGUUUGAGAAAUUUCCGGAGAAGGGAGGGAACAUGAAAAGUUUAGUGGAGCUUGAUUUAAAAAAUACUGCUAUUAAGGAUCUGCCUGAUAGCAUUGGAGACUUGGAAUCUCUUGAGUCUCUUGAUCUCUCUGAUUGCUCAAAGUUUGAGAAAUUUCCGGAGAAGGGAGGGAACAUGAAAAGCUUAAAGUGGCUUUAUUUAACAAAUACUGCUAUUAAGGAUCUGCCUGAUAGCAUUGGAGACUUGGAAUCUCUUUUGUCUCUUCAUCUCUCUGAUUGCUCAAAGUUUGAGAAAUUUCCGGAGAAGGGAGGGAACAUGAAAAGUUUAAUGAAGCUUGAUUUAAGAUAUACUGCUAUUAAGGAUCUGCCUGAUAGCAUUGGAGACUUGGAAUCUCUUAGGCUUCUUGAUCUCUCUGAUUGCUCAAAGUUUGAGAAAUUUCCGGAGAAGGGAGGGAACAUGAAAAGCUUAAAGAAGCUUUUUUUAAGAAAUACUGCUAUUAAGGAUCUGCCUGAUAGCAUUGGAGACUUGGAAUCUCUUGAGUCUCUUGAUCUCUCUGAUUGCUCAAAGUUUGAGAAAUUUCCGGAGAAGGGAGGGAACAUGAAAAGUUUAAUGGACCUUGAUUUAACAAAUACUGCUAUUAAGGAUCUGCCUGAUAGCAUUGGAGACUUGGAAUCUCUUAAGUUUCUUGUUCUCUCUGAUUGCUCAAAGUUUGAGAAAUUUCCAGAGAAGGGAGGGAACAUGAAAAGUUU
rnacentral:lncRNA from 1 species